AUUAAUUUAAAGUCUUGACCUGCCCACCUGAUUAAUUGAAUGGCCGCAGUAUUUUAACUGUGCAAAGGUAGCAUAAUCAUUAGUCUUUUAAUUGAAGGCUUGUAUGAAUGGUUGGACGAAAUAUAAUCUGUCUCAUAAAAAUUUAUAAUAGAAUUUUAUUUUUUAGUCAAAAAGCUAAAAUAAAAUUAAAAGACGAGAAGACCCUAUAGAUCUUUAUAAUUGAUUUGGUUAUUGUUAUUUAGAUGUUUUAAACAUUAAUUAUGUUAAUUAUUUUAUUGGGGUGAUACUAAAAUUUAAUUAACUUUUAUUUAUUAAUAACAUUGAUUUAUGAAUAAUUGAUCCAUUAUUAGUGAUUAUAAGAUUAAGUUACCUUAGGGAUAACAGCGUAAUCUUCUUGGAGAGUUCAUAUUGAUAAGAAGGGUUGCGACCUCGAUGUUGGACUAAAAUAAAUUCUAGGUGUAGCAGUUUAGAAUAUUAAGUCUGUUCGACUUUUAAUUUUUUACAUGAUCU
rnacentral:rRNA from 1 species